GAGCGCGCUGUCCUGGUAGAUGCGGCUCAUUCUCCCCAGGCCGCUGCGCGGGGAGGCGGCGGCACCGCGAGGGGACAGCCGGGAGGACGCGCCGAAACUCGCGAUUCCCGGCGGCUGCUCCGGGAAGGGCGUUCCCGGGCGGGACUUAAAGGAGCCGAGCCCCAUUCCUGCCCGCCCGGCCCGCGCGCGGUGGGAGGGGGCUUCCGGGAAGACCCGCGGCUGGGGCCUUAGCACGUCUCCUCUUUUCUCUGCCUCUUCCUUGUUACUAGGGGGAGAACCUGCCCCAACACAUGCACAAAGGGGAAACUGAGGCCCAGAGACCCUAUAGGAUCGGCUCUGAGAGAAUGAGUUUCCAGGGAGCAGGGAUGGAGAAAAGGGUUAGCCAUUGGGGGUGCGGCGUGGUCAGCACAGCAGCCGUUCUUUAUGUCUCGCCGCCGGAGGUCCCACAGUGGCGGAGGGAGGGGUUCCAAGCCUAGGCCUGAUCAACGAGAUACCUAGGUUUGGAUCCCAGCUGUGUGAUCCAGAGGUUGGGCAAGUUCCUCAACCUCUCUGAGCCCGUGAUUCCUCCUCUGCAAAGUGGGCCAGUAUCCGAAGGGCUGUAAAGACGAAUAAACUCGCCACUCUCCAUCCUCCCGCAGAAUUCUGGAGCCCCUGCCCAGCUCCCUACUGCCCUUUGCCCAGCAUUAUUCACAAUAGCCAAGAUGGGGAAGCAAUCUACAUGUCCAUCAGUAGAUGGAUAGGAAAAGAAAGUAUGGUACAGGCAUCCAAUGGAAUAUUAUUCAGCCUUAAAAAAAGAAGGAAACCCUGCCAUAUGCAAGAACAUCGAGGAUCCUGGAAGUGAAAGAAGCCGGACACAGAAAGGGCAUUCUAGCAGACGGCGCUGCUCUGUGACCUUUCGUGGGAAGCGUAACCUCCUGUUUGUCAGGCUCUGAGACUUCGCCCCAACAGCAUAGUCAGCAGACCAGGCACCAGCAAGACGGAAACUAAAAGAACAAGAAAACAUUUUUUGAAAGAUUUUGAUAUUUUUUUUCUAAAAAGCAUCAAUCAUGGUGAGAAAAAAAAACAACACUUUCUUAGACUUUCUGACACCUAUUUGCAGGUUACUGAUGUGUCCAUAUUAAAUUAUAAACCACCACGUACAACAAGAAGACAGCUUAAGUUGUGGGCCCCUUAGUGCCCCGGCCCCUUUUAAGAACAGGGGUGGAGAGGUCCAACAAUGUGUUCACAUGGGCACAGGCUUCGGUUAAAUUUUCAUAGGUAAGGCAGUUUGGAUGCUGUCAGCUAAGAUCACUGUCUUUGCCUAGAAUUCUUUACUUCACGUCAUAUGAUGUGGGAGUGGAUUUGAAUGAGAGAAAGUUGACAUGGGGCACAUUUAUUUGGGUUUUGUGGGAUAAGUUUAUGUAAUCUGCAGUCUCUCCUACCUAGAACUCUGUUUUUGCCAGCUGUCCUACCGUAGGAGUGCCCUCCCACCUCUGUGCUCACUCAGCUACCUGGUGCCGGGCACGAAGCGUGUGACACGAAGGAGCAGGGCAAGGGGUCGUGUCACUGUAGAAGUGGGUACUGCCGUGCCUGGUGCUGAGGCUGCGUGAGGAGUAGAGAGGGAAUAAGGUGUGAAACGUAAGCAAGGAGCCAAAGCUGAUGGCGGAAAAUUCUUCCACUCAUCAGAUAGAUAAAAUUGUAAGUGGAAGAUUUGGUUCUCAUUAACCCUAGUCAAAAUGGAAGUUCUUUCAGGAACGUUUUCACUAAAGCUGUGUGUGUAAUUCUAAACACACCAAUGUUUUUCUUCUCUUUUGAUAGGCAUCAGGCAACAUAGAAUUGAUCAGGAUUCCCGUAAGGCACAAAUAUGUACUGGGAAAACAAAUGAGGGGCGCAUAUGUGCACAGUCUUAGGUUUUAUGCAUCAGAUCACAUCUUAGCAUAUCUGACACAUCUUGUCUUGACAAAGUCCGAUGGUUCCAGAAGAAUUAGAGUGCCAAAUUGCCACAAAUGCAGUGAAAUAACCUGGAGAAAACACACAUACACACCAGAGGGCAAAAGAUACAAAACAAAGGAAGCACUCAGAGAGAAAGCAUAACAUAAAAUAAGAUGCCAGAAUGAGAACUAAACCUAUCCAUCACAUUGCAUCAAUAAAUGCAAAUAGAGUGAGCCUUGUUUGGAAAGAAAAUCUAUGACAUGCCUUUGUAUCAGACAUCUCUUCAUGCCACAUCAGAGCCUCUCGUCCUCACAAAGGCCCCUCCAGGGCCUUUGACGUAUCCUGUCCUAGCUUCUCCAUUGUAGUGACCAACUCUGCUUGGGCUCCGACCACUUUCCUGGAGAAACAAUCCUCCGCACCUGACCCCGUGGCCACACCGCACCACUUGCCCCCUAGGACAACUGGUCCCAAGGGUGCUCCUUACAAUUAGACUCUUGGGAGAGGUCUGUGAAAUUGGAUUGCCUAUGGUUCGGAUGGCAAUAAGAACACCAUUGCUAGUGGUGAGUGGCUGGUGAUAACACUCGGCAUAAAGUGGCAUCAAAAUUACUAAGGUUUCAUCUGGGGUUAAUGGGGGUGAGGUGCAGGUAGAAGGUGGAACUGAGCUGGGGAAAGGAGCGUCUGUAGUAUUCGAUAGGUAUGGGGGCAAUGAUCAUUGUAAGAAAUGUAGGGUGCUGACAUUUAUUAACAACUUGGAAACCUUGCAAAAAGGAAAAUGACAGGCUCAGGGUAGCUAACGGCCAACUUAAGGGUUGGGAGCUUUACAGCAGUUUUUAGGGAGACUCAGUCUCUUGCAGCUUCAGGGCAAACUGUAGCAAGUCAGCAUCAGCAGCUAAUUGUAGGGGAGACAGUGCUCCCAAAGGAGGGUGGCUGUGGAGCUCCAAGAGCUCCUGUUAAAAUUAGGCCCUGCUAGAGGAAGGGAUGGACCCUGGGAUGAGGAUAUUGGUAGGUGGAAGAGCCUGAAAGCCUUGAACCGCCAAAUUCCCCUGGCCAAAUUCCCCUGGCCAGCAGCAGCAGCCCCUCCCCUAAUCUGGGGGCAGUGCAAAGACCUCCGUGGAAGCAGAUGCCUUGCAAGAUAUCAUUUGCUUUCCUUAAGAUCUGCCUCCAUCAUCAUUCAUCACCUCUAGGCCAAUGGAAUUGGCUCACACCACAAUCUGAGCUGGAAAGUACAGUUUCUACUCCCAGAGGAUCAGCUCACACAUCCAAGGAAUGGCAGACCUGGCCAGCAUGUGCCAUGGGGGACUAAUGGGGGGAACAUGGCAGUGGAUCUGAGGUGAACAACCAGGGGAGUGGAAAAUAAAGCUGGAUCGCAGAGCAUUCGUUGA